GGUGAAUCCUUUAAAAAUAUGACCGCAUCCCCAGCAAGUAACUCACUUUCAGCAAAAAAUGCAAAUGUCAACCUUUUUCAAAAUCACAGUCUAGAAAUCCUUCAUAUGUAAUUCCUCAAAAGAAGGAUCAGAUAACUUGGAAAGGGAGGAAGCUUUCCAUCCCAAGUGUGCAAAGCAUUGCAGUCUUUAAUUUAUUGACUAUAUUGACCUGACUUUUAAAAGACUCCCCAACUUGGCAUCAAUAUUCUCUUUAUCUCACAUGCAAUGAAUCUGUCCUUCUUCCCUUUGUACAAGUACUUAAUAGCUGUUAAAUGAUGAGGACAGGCCUUGCUGGAUCUGUGAGAGUUGUACUUCAAGGUACAUUUGGAUUAAUGCUUUCCCUUCCUUCUGCUCUGUUCUCAGGUUGCUGCACUACUUGCUCAAUUUGACUUUUUUAGUGGCUUGGAAACCUUGUCAGAUGAUUUUCAGCAGGAGUGAUUCCUUCAGUGCUGCCACACCAGUGGAGAUUACAGUUGCAUCUCCUUCCAUACAAGUCACUACAGCGGAGCAGAUCCUCUGGCUGUGUUUCCUGUCAUCAGGUGUCACCCCAGCUAGAUGUCUGCAAGGAAGCGAUAUUCUACCUUCGGAAAAUCUCAUUUCCGAAUACCUUUAGAAAUGUUUGCUUGUAGGCAAUUUUCAAAGACCUAACGUUUGACUUUGCUGAUGCAUGUGAA
rnacentral:lncRNA from 1 species